GUUUCGCUCCCCCAGCCUGCACUUUCUCCUCUUCGAACACUCGUCCACCCUGCUCCAGCCCGAGCUGCACCUUCUCCGACCCGGUAUCUCAAAAGGAGCUCGAACUCCUUUUCCUCUGGGGAGGAGAAAGAAUGGGUGGCCUCCGCGUCACUCUGUUUCCCUUCCUCCUCCUCAGUCCUGAUAGAAUCGAAGGGCUGCCCUUGUUCCAGAAACAUAAUAACUGCAUUCCAGCUGACUCCGAUGGGGGCGGGGGGCGGAGUAGUGGAAGCCCAUUUUUAUUUGAAACCUGUCCCUAUAUUUUCCUUCCCAGGAAUCCCUGGAUAAAGACCAGCUCAACCAUCGCUGAGAAAACAGACCUAGGCUUCCCAGGGCGGUUAACCCGCCGGCCUCUGGGCAGAGACUAAAAGACAAAACAAAAUAAAACAACAACAAAAAACUCCCAGUGUGUUUCCUACUCUUCUUUGUCUUGGAGGAAAGCAAAGGGAGAGAAAUGGACUUCACCAGUGGUCUUUGGCUUCAUCAAUUCACAGGAAAUGGCAUCAAGAUGGUUCAACUAAGACAUGAUCACUAAAAACAUUAUAAUAAUACCUUUUUGAAAAACUCAGUUUCUCCUGUUUACUAAAUAUUUAUUUCAUCAACAUGGGCUGCGUUCCACUGUGUCAGGAUUCUGCAUGUGGGUGGAGCACUGUUCCAGCCUGAGAAGAUGGUUCUGAGGCCACUUAGCAAGACAUUUUCCAGCAUGAGCAGGUUUCUCUGUGGAAAUAGUGACACCUGUUCUGGUGUGUUGUCUUUCCUCAGGGAACUUAAGGGGUACAAAGCUCCUGAAAAUGUUCUUUAUGCUGGUUGAAGCUCUUAUGUCGCUGUACUGAUUCCCUACGAUGCAGAUUUGAAUCACAGAGUAAUUAAAAUAUGGAUCAAAUAAGGCUGGGGCUCACCAAGGCUGAAAGCUGUAGCCAUUCAAGGCAUCAUUUCUGUCAUGAAAAUAUAGGACCUUUUCAAAACAUGCCUUCAGGAAGGUGUUCUCUUUUCAAACAAAAGUCUAAUGACUGCAUAACUCUUCUUGACCACAUCUUACACUUUCUCUAGACUUGCUUAUUUACAGCUACUGGAACAAAAAGAUGAAAUGAAUAAAGCACACUGAUUGUCCUAAGAGUCUUCUGUGACUAAAAGCACAUGAGCUUCUCCCCAGGCUGAGCUUUGACCCUCCCAAGCAUUUCCCCAAAGGCCAUGACACUGCAUCAGAUUGCUCCUGGACACUUUCCUCAGAGUUUUCAACAAAUAUAAACUGAGGAGUGGAGCACAGCACCAGAUUUGCUAAUCAAGAGGCAAUGGUCCCAGUCCAAAUGGGUGCUGUGUGUGAAUACAGAGCCCAGGAGAAGGGAAGGAGGUCUGUGAACAUCAGGAAUUGCAAAAUCUUGCUGAACCAAUAGACCAACAGCCAUUAACAUUUGUCAAUGCAAAGAUCCUAAAAUAUACAAGUGUGGAGUUGUCCUGCCCUAAGAGCUGAAGCUGUGACAAUCACGCUGCCAUGGUAGAUAUUUAAGCUCCCCUGAGGUUACUGAAUCUAACAAUGAAUAAACAAUGAAGAGUAGCUAAUUUUUGGAAAUCUCUUUCUAUGACCGGAAAAUAUUCACAAACUCAGAGUGAUUGUUUGGGGUGAAAGAUGGUCCCAUGCCUUGUGGGCCUCUCUUUGCUAUCUAUACAACGUUGGAAAUGAACCCCUCCCUUACAGGAAAGUGAACAGCAACCAAGGUGAGCCCACCCUGGGAGGGCAGAGUGGGUGUACUUUCCUCGAAGAGCCCUGAACACAACAGGGCACACAAACAGCCACAGCACCCUCAACAAUGCCCCACCAUCUGCCCACCAGGGCACACAGAUUCACGCAGAUUCAGUGACACAUUCCAAAAAAAGGGAAUUAAGGAGGACCCAUGGCAUGGCUAAUGGGGAGAGAGCUUUACUACUUUUAGCACCAUUGCUAAUUAUUGGAGCAAAGAAAGGCAUACAAGGAAUGGAACCCAACCUGUUUAAAGUAAUAAAUGUCAACCCUAAAGUGCAUGGAACCAUCUCUCCUUCCCUUUUGAGGACUGUGUGCUUCACAAGCUGGGCGUUUGCUGCAUGGGGUUUUCUAAUGUAAUGUGAAUUUUCAAUGUGCUUUGUCUCUGUAGAGUGGCUUUAAAAAGCCCUUGAAGUCCUCAGCUUUAAAUCCAUGCUAAUAGGGGAAGUCUUUUUUUUUUUUUUUUGGAGGUGAGGAGCUUUGGUUGGGAGAAACAUUGACCCAGACUGCACUCUGGGUAAACUAGGGCAAAAGACCUGAUAUCGUCUGCAGGGUACUUAUUAACCACUGUUCAUUUGCAGGAUCAAUAUUUCCAGCAAAGGAGUCCACACUCAAGAUACACUGCUACGUCUCACUUUUUCCUUGACACAACAAUUUAUUUUAUAAAUGCAUCUGCUGGAGAAGAAAAGGCAGUACCAAGGAUUGUGUCUUUUAUCUCCAGGAUAUGCAAAGCGCAUUUAUUUUCAGCUUUUAUCUCUGGAAUUGUAUGUUGAUCCCAUACAUAUAGAUUGAUUUUGUUCAGGUAGAUAAUGAAAAGUCAAGUGGAAAAUUACACAAUGGCAUUCACGAUCCUAGUCUUAUAUCAGUAUAUAAAUUGGUUUAUUAUUUCAUUCUAUUAAAGAGGCUUUUUUUUGGUACCAGGAAAACUUCAAAAUGCAUUGUGUUGUCAGCCUCACUGAAUUUUCUUUUGGAGGAGGAGGUAGGGAGGGGAAGCCAAAGCCCCGAUUUCUCCUGCUCCUUUUGCUAAUUGUAUUGGCUAAAUGAGCUUUCACAGAGGGGGGUCCUGGCUGCUUUUUGCUCUCCCCCAGACCACUUGUAGGUUGCACACAGGGCUUCUAUAACUCUUUCUGAGUCAGGACAAAGAUAUCCGCCGUGCACACCCUGUGACAUAGGUGGAUAUUUAUUUCAUCCCGGGCAAUUCUAAAUUUUGUCAUGAUGACUGAAAGAGGCAAUCCCCUCCUGAGCAUUAAGAGGCCAGGGGUGAGAGGGUGGCAGCAUAGAAAAGCCACCACCCAGAGACAGCUUGGAGCCAUGAUCCUGGAGGAAAUGUUAUUAAUAAACAUCUUUUGGACAUUUGGUAGCCCGUGGAGCUUGCUCCAGCUUAAAGCAAUUAAUUCAGGACACUGACAUAAACUCUCCAGAUCUUUGACAGCUUGGAGCCGAAAUAAAAAUGCUAGUUCUCCGGGGAAGAGAAGAGGAUGGCUAGCCCUUUUCUGGACUGUUUGCUUAUAGGCCCAGAGAGCAACCUUCCUUGCAGAAUGAAAUGCAAGGGCACAAACAAUGUACCAGGGAGAGAAUAGAAGAUGGGAAUGAACAGUUUGAACUAUUUGCUCAGCAGAAGGGCACCACAAUGCUGGGGUAGUGGUUUUCCCAUGCGUCCACUGUCCCUUCUUUGGGAUCUUUUGUUGUCCCCUGUCUCCUUUGGCCAGAUAAAAGCACAGCUGCAGCAUUGCAGAUAACAAGUAGGCCGUACUUAUCCCCCUAAAUCUCGGGGUGCCUUUACUGUAACAAGUUAUGCUCGGCUCUCUUUUAUUUUACAAGAGGAUGGUGAGGGAGAGAAUGGAAGAACAGAGGGGGCGGACGUAUAAGACAUUUGACACUGCCUAUGUCUGAUUUCUCUUUCUUUCUUUCUUUCUUUCUUUCUUUCUUUCUUUCUUUCUUUCCUUUCUUUCUUUCUUGCAAGCUGUGAUCGGAUGCAAUCUUUGUGGGACAUUUAAAUGGAAGGGUUCAUUGAUGUGUAUUGCUUGCCAAGCCAAAAUGUUGCCUUUGGGGAAAAGGGAGAGAGGUGUUCAUGGAGUGCAGGGAAAGGAGGUUUUGGGGCAGAGAUUUUGACUUAAAAUAACCAGACUUCUUCUGGCUGCUGAAAAGAGGCAAAAGUUUUAAAUUGUCAAGUUUAAAACUAUGUUCAGUUAUGAUUUGCCACUUCUGAAUAUUAUUUUGGAUUUCCCCUUUCAUGCUUAUUUUGUUCAGAAUCCUAAUGAAUAGAGGUUGCUGGACUCAGGGUAAAAGCAGGAUGAACUGGAGAUGGGACAUACAAGGUACUUUUGGAAUUGCCAUAGAUUACACCUAUAAUCAGAGUAAAUGUCAUCAACAAAUAAUCAAAAUAUUUUUUACAUUUGCUCUUCUAAAAUCAGAGCCUAUUUUAAAUAUAAAAGAAAGUAGAUGUGAUAAUAAUAUAAACUACAGUCACAUUAAGUUGAUAUUAAAUUCAAAAUCUAACAUAGAUUUGCACUGUUGGGUGUGUGUUCCGAAUCAGUGGGUUUUCCCACUGAUGUUGAUUUCGGGAGCCAGGCUUCAAUGUUUAAUUCUAUUGUAAUGUGGUUAUUUAGCCUGAAUGGUUUUAUAAGGUGGAAAGGCAAAAAAUUUAAUUCCGAAGAAAACUAGUGUUUUACUAUGACUGUGGUAAACAUUUCCAAAGCCCACCUGUGGGAAAUACAAAGUUUUAAUGCUGUGUGUUUUUUUGUUUUUGUAUUUUGUCUCAUCGACAAAACUGGCAGAAAAAAACGCUUUCGUAUAUUUUUCCUGCUGGGUGGUCAGAAGGAAAGGCCGUGAAGCUAAAGGUCUCCCACUGAGACGCUGUUCUGCAAGGAGCCGACCUCACGUGCCGCCGCCGCCAGAGAAGAGAGCACCUGUUCAUCUCGGCUCACUGUGAGGCUGAGCUCAGCGCUGGCAGGCGAGGGGCCGCAAGCAUCCCCCACAGCCACCGAGAGGGCAUCCCUGCAGGGAAAUCAUAUCCGACAUGCCUGUGCCCACAGCAGACUUAAGACUGCCUCUAAAAUGUCCAUGAAGCCAUUGUCCAGUAGAGCUGUUAGUUUUAACACCAGUGAGUAUUACCUUUGGUUAAAAGGAUGCAUGUGUAUAGGUGUAUGUGUGUGCGUGUGUGUUUGUGUUUUUGGACUUGUGUGGAGAAUGAAGAAAGGGUUCCAUUUAGGCAUUUGCAAAUAUUCGAUGGCAUCAUGAAAAGACAAAAAAAUCCUAUAAAAUAUAUCAUAUUUUGCUAUGAUUUUGUGUGUAC
rnacentral:lncRNA from 1 species